rnacentral:rRNA from 1 species
AGGACGAACGCUGGCGGCGUGCCUAACACAUGCAGGUCGAGCGAAUGAAGUUCCUUCGGGAACGGAUUUAGCGGCGGACGGGUGAGUAACACGUGGGCAACCUGCCUCAUAGAGGGGAAUAGCCUUCCGAAAGGGAGAUUAAUACCGCAUAAGAUUAUAGUACCGCAUGGUACAGCAAUUAAAGGAGCAAUCCGCUAUGAGAUGGGCCCGCGGCGCAUUAGCUAGUUGGUGAGGUAACGGCUCACCAAGGCGACGAUGCGUAGCCGACCUGAGAGGGUGAUCGGCCACAUUGGGACUGAGACACGGCCCAGACUCCUACGGGAGGCAGCAGUGGGAAUAUUGCACAAUGGGGAAACCCUGAUGCAGCAACGCCGCGUGAGUGAUGACGGCCUUCGGGUUAUAAAGCUCUGUCUUCAGGGACGAUAAUGACGGUACCUGAGGAGGAAGCCACGGCUAACUACGUG